ACUCUAUCUCUCGCUCAAUCUUCUAUACGUCGGCGCAGUCUCGAAUCUCUCCAUCGCCUCAGUGAUGGGGUUUGUCUUUGCUUUUCUUCGGUUGCUGGGGAAAAGGUUGACAGUAGGAAAGGUAAACGAGUCUGCUCUUAAACUGGAGCUGUAAAAAAAAUGAGCCUGAUCACAGUUCUUUCAAGCUUACAUGUCUGCAAACCCAUCAUGGAGGUUGGUACAUAGUUCUUCUAAAUCAAGUAU